CUUUCUCGACAUUCUUACUCGACAAGCAAGAAUCAGGAUCGCUAGCAUCAAAAGGACACCCAAAACCACACAAGUAAUUGUUAUUGCUAGCUUAGAAGCAUGGGACUUCCCUUUCUUCAUCACUUGAGAAGGGCACUUUGGUAGACCCAGUUCUGUUACUCCACCACAAAGCUUGGCAUUUCCGAUCAGUGACAAUGCACUUGCAUUUCUGAAAAGUCCUUUGGUUGGAACUUCACCCUCAAAAUUGUUAAAAG
rnacentral:misc_RNA from 1 species